rnacentral:tRNA from 1 species
AGUAAGAUGGCUGAAAUAUUAGGCGAUAGAUUGUAAAUCUAUUUAUGGAAAUAUUCCUCUUACUA